UACGUAGGGAGCGAGCGUUGUCCGGAUUCAUUGGGCGUAAAGAGCUCGUAGGCGGCUUGGUAAGUCGGAUGUGAAACCUCCAGGCUCAACCUGGAGUCGCCAUCCGAUACUGCCAUGGCUAGAGUCCGGUAGGGGCCCACGGAAUUCCUGGUGUAGCGGUGAAAUGCUUAGAGAUGACAUAGAACACCCAUUGCGAAGGCAGCUUACUACGGAUUGAUUGACACUGAGGCACGAAAGCGUGGGGAUCAAACAGG
rnacentral:rRNA from 1 species